rnacentral:rRNA from 1 species
UGAUGGAGAGUUUGAUCCUGGCUCAGGACGAACGCUGGCGGCGUGCUUAACACAUGCAAGUCGAGCGGGGAGCUUCGGCUCUCAGCGGCGAACGGGUGAGUAACACGUGGGCAAYCUGCCCCGAGCUCUGGAAUAACCUCGGGAAACCGGGGCUAAUGCCGGAUAUGACAUUGCCGGGCAUCUGGUGGUGUGGAAAGAUUUAUCGGCUCGGGAUGGGCCCGCGGCCUAUCAGCUUGUUGGUGGGGUGAUGGCCUACCAAGGCGACGACGGGUAGCCGGCCUGAGAGGGCGACCGGCCACACUGGGACUGAGACACGGCCCAGACUCCUACGGGAGGCAGCAGUGGGGAAUAUUGCGCAAUGGGCGGAAGCCUGACGCAGCGACGCCGCGUGGGGGAUGACGGCCUUCGGGUUGUAAACC